rnacentral:lncRNA from 1 species
GGAUAUGGUUCAGCUUCUCAAAAUUAAAAAUAAUUCUUAAAUUUUGGAGCCAGUCCUUGUAAUUGGUUCCAAUCAACCUAAUGGUGUCAAGGAUUCGAGCUAAUAGAUUUAAACUCGACAUGGUUAACUGCAGAGAGAAAUAAUUUCUAAUUAAAUAUUUUGAACUUGUAAAUGUUUGUUAUUGGGACUUUAAUAAACAAACAAGGGCUUCCACUAUUUCUACGGAUCUCCC